rnacentral:rRNA from 1 species
AGUGAACGCUGGCGGUAGGCCUAACACAUGCAAGUCGAACGGCAGCACAGUAAGAGCUUGCUCUUACGGGUGGCGAGUGGCGGACGGGUGAGGAAUACAUCGGAAUCUACUUUUUCGUGGGGGAUAACGUAGGGAAACUUACGCUAAUACCGCAUACGACCUACGGGUGAAAGCAGGGGAUCUUCGGACCUUGCGCGAUUGAAUGAGCCGAUGUCGGAUUAGCUAGUUGGCGGGGUAAAGGCCCACCAAGGCGACGAUCCGUAGCUGGUCUGAGAGGAUGAUCAGCCACACUGGAACUGAGACUCGGUCCAGACUCCUACGGGAGGCAGCAGUGGGGAAUAUUGGACAAUGGGCGCAAGCCUGAUCCAGCCAUACCGCGUGGGUGAAGAAGGCGUUCGGGUUGUAAAGCCCUUUUGUUGGGAAAGAAAAGCAGCAGGUUAAUACCCCGCUGUUCUGACGGUACCCAAAGAAUAAGCACCGGCUAACUUCGUG